GCCUCUAUAGAUCAAUAUUAGAUCACCUCCGCUGUGUGACUCUGUGCCCCGGUAUACUUCGGAGGAGACGUAGGUUUGAGUCCUACUGGGGGCA